rnacentral:rRNA from 1 species
UACGUAGGGCGCAAGCGUUGUCCGGAAUUAUUGGGCGUAAAGAGCUCGUAGGCGGUUUGUCGCGUCUGCUGUGAAAACCUAAGGCUCAACCUUGGGCUUGCAGUGGGUACGGGCAGACUAGAGUGCGGUAGGGGUGACUGGAAUUCCUGGUGUAGCGGUGGAAUGCGCAGAUAUCAGGAGGAACACCGAUGGCGAAGGCAGGUCACUGGGCCGCAACUGACGCUGAGGCACGAAAGCGUGGGGAUCAAACAGG